rnacentral:SRP_RNA from 1 species
GCUGGGCAUGGUGACGCAUGCCUGUAAUCCCAGCUACUCGGGAGGCUGAGGCAGAAGAAUCGCUUGAACCCAGGAGGUGGAGGGUCCCUUGAGCCAAGAUUGCACCAUUGCACUCCAGCCUGGGCGACAGAGCGAGACUCUGUCUCAA